UACGGGGGGGGCAAGCGUUGUUCGGAAUUACUGGGCGUAAAGGGCUCGUAGGCGGCUAACUAAGUCGGAUGUGAAAUCCCCAGGCUCAACCUGGGAACUGCAUCCGAUACUGGAUGGCUUGAAUUCGGGAGAGGGAUGCAGAAUUCCAGGUGUAGCGGUGAAAUGCGUAGAUAUCUGGAGGAAUACCGGUGGCGAAGGCGGCAUCCUGGACCGACAUUGACGCUGAUGAGCGAAAGCUAGGGGAGCAAACAGG
rnacentral:rRNA from 1 species